AUUGAACGCUGGCGGCAUGCCUUACACAUGCAAGUCGAACGGCAGCACGGGAGCAAUCCUGGUGGCGAGUGGCGAACGGGUGAGUAAUACAUCGGAACGUGCCCUGUCGUGGGGGAUAACUAGUCGAAAGAUUAGCUAAUACCGCAUACGACCUGAGGGUGAAAGCGGGGGACCGUAAGGCCUCGCGCGAUAGGAGCGGCCGAUGUCUGAUUAGCUAGUUGGUGGGGUAAAGGCCCACCAAGGCGACGAUCAGUAGCUGGUCUGAGAGGACGAUCAGCCACACUGGGACUGAGACACGGCCCAGACUCCUACGGGAGGCAGCAGUGGGGAAUUUUGGACAAUGGGGGCAACCCUGAUCCAGCAAUGCCGCGUGUGUGAAGAAGGCCUUCGGGUUGUAAAGCACUUUUGUCCGGAAAGAAAUCCCUUGCCCUAAUACGGCGGGGGGAUGACG
rnacentral:rRNA from 1 species